rnacentral:rRNA from 1 species
GGGUCAGAAGGUUGGUCGUGCCACCGGUACGUACUGGUCUCACUGAUUCCUCCUUCCUGAAGAACCGUAAUGCCAUUAAUUUGGUGUUGCGGGGAAACAGGACUGUUACUUUGAGAAAAUUAGAGUGUUUAAAGCAAGCUAACGCUUGAAUACAUUAGCAUGGAAUAAUGAAAUAGGACGAUCGAUCCUAUUUUGUUGGUUUCUAGGAUUGACGUA